rnacentral:rRNA from 1 species
UACGUAGGUGGCAAGCGUUGUCCGGAAUUAUUGGGCGUAAAGCGCGCGCAGGUGGUUCCUUAAGUCUGAUGUGAAAGCCCACGGCUCAACCGUGGAGGGUCAUUGGAAACUGGGGAACUUGAGUGCAGAAGAGGAAAGUGGAAUUCCGAGUGUAGCGGUGAAAUGCAUAGAGAUUUGGAGGAACACCAGUGGCGAAGGCGACUUUCUGGUCUGUAACUGACACUGAGGCGCGAAAGCGUGGGGAGCAAACAGG